GAUUUCUGGUGGUCGAGCCUGGCCCGCUCCGGUUACGGUAGUGAGUGCCGGGAUCUCGUCUACCAUCCUUGUAGGGAACAUCACUACCGUUCACUCGGCUUGUGGUGCGAACUACAUCGUUUACUUUGAAAAAAUUAGAGUGUUUAAAGCAAGCUUAGGCUGAAUACAUUAGCAUGGAAUAAUAAUAUAGGACUUUUGGCCUAUUUUGUUGGUUUAGGACAGAAGUAAUGAUUGAUAGGGAUAGUUGGGGGUGCUAGUAUUCAGAGGCCAGAGGUGAAAUUCUUGGAUUCUCUGAAGACUAACUUAUGCGAAAGCAUU
rnacentral:rRNA from 1 species